UACGUAGGUGGCAAGCGUUGUCCGGAUUUACUGGGCGUAAAGAGCGCGCAGGCGGUCUAGUAAGUCGAAUGUGAAAGCCCCCGGCUCAACUGGGGAGGGUCAUUCGAUACUGUUCGACUCGAAGGCAGGAGAGGGAAGUGGAAUUCCCGGUGUAGUGGUGAAAUGCGUAGAUAUCGGGAGGAACACCAGUGGCGAAGGCGGGUCUCUGGGCCGACACUGACACUGAGAGACGAA
rnacentral:rRNA from 1 species